rnacentral:rRNA from 1 species
AUUGAACGCUGGCGGCAUGCCUUACACAUGCAAGUCGAACGGCAGCACGGGUGCUUGCACCUGGUGGCGAGUGGCGAACGGGUGAGUAAUACAUCGGAACAUGUCCUGUAGUGGGGGAUAGCCCGGCGAAAGCCGGAUUAAUACCGCAUACGAUCUACGGAUGAAAGCGGGGGACCUUCGGGCCUCGCGCUAUAGGGUUGGCCGAUGGCUGAUUAGCUAGUUGGUGGGGUAAAGGCCUACCAAGGCGACGAUCAGUAGCUGGUCUGAGAGGACGACCAGCCACACUGGGACUGAGACUCGGCCCAGACUCCUACGGGAGGCAGCAGUGGGGAAUUUUGGACAAUGGGCGAAAGCCUGAUCCAGCAAUGCCGCGUGUGUGAAGAAGGCCUUCGGGUUGUAAAGCACUUUUGUCCGGAAAGAAAUCCUUGGCCCUAAUACGGUCGGGGGAUGACGGUACCGGAAGAAUAAGCACCGGCUAACUACGUG